UUAUAAAGUAUCUUGGCAGAGGUUGAUCUCCAAGGAAUAAUUUCUCUCCUAAAUUAUGCCAAUCCAAAUUUCACUCUACCGUAAUACUUUUAAUCAGUUUCAGAGGAAUAAUAAAUUUCAAAAUUGUUCAAGGUACUUCUUUUAGUUCAAGUACCUUUUGACAGGUGUAAAACUGUAGACAGACUGAUACAUACAUAUUCUAAUUGACUCAAAAUUAUAUGGGACCUAUUUUAAAAUCUAGAUUUUAAAAUGUGUCAACAUACACAUGUUCUCCUUGUGAAAUAAUUGCUUUAUAUUCUCUGGAUAGAAUAAUUUAAUCUUUAAACCUUCCAUUCACUCUUAGAAACAAAAUACUACAUAAGGAUAUGCUUAUAAAAAUAAUUCCCAACUAGCUUUUCAGUUCAGAAAUAUAUGUGAAGAAUCAUCAAACAUCUAAUGGAUUUCAAGGAGAAAUGGGUUAGUAAUUUAUUCCAUAUGUCUCAAAUUUUCCUAGACUCAAGGCUUCCUUUAAAAUAAUUGUAGGCGUUUAAGAAACCAUGUAAACUAAAAAGAAGAAAUUGUGACGCUGCCGCUUAGUCUUUUUAAGUCUUUGGACAUGAUUCAAUAUAUUUUUUAAAUUGUAUCUUAAUUAGACAUUGUGAGUUCACCAUCUUCCUGUCAAUAUAGCAUCCAAGCUGAUUAUCAUAGAUUACAAGUCCAACUAUCAACUGUGUUCUGAGAGUCUAAAAAAAUAAAUGAACGUAUUUGUUUGGGUAUUCUUAAAGCAGGAGUGAGGACACAGCGAAAGUGAGACAAGGAAAAGAGAACAAAAUAAAACAGGAAAGAUAGAAAAGCCAAUACCACACGUGUUAAGAGUAACAAGCUCCCGUGCUGCUAGAGAAAGUCCUCAGCUAGAAACUGGUGCAAAUUCUGGAGAUGAGACCUUGUAGAGUGUUAAGAAUGGUUUUCUUCCCAGCAGCUACAGUGCGGUUAUAAACUGAGUCAGUAUCUCAAGAUUUGAUCCCCAUUAUCAUCAUCUGUGGCCCUAUUUGUUUUAUAAAUGUAUUGUCUUUUUCCAUGCCUGUCACAUCUCUAUUGCUUUUUCAUUUUUCUCUUUGUCCCUUAUAGGGAGCAUUGCCUAUCUCUAGAUUAAGCAAAGGUUGCAUCAUAAAAAAGCACAAUAACCUGCUCAAUCUUUCUCACACAGAGAAAUGUUUGUUAAGUAAUUAAAGUGUAGAUGAUGAUACAAAGACCUUGAUUAAAUUAGAUAACAAAGUACCCUUGUGAUUCAGAAUAUGAAUGGUAUUUAAUUUCUUUGAAAUCAUUAAUUGCUGAGUGACAUUAAUUAAUGCCAAUUUUCCAGAAGAUGUUCUAGUUAAUGAAAUGUAUACAACGAAAAGCACAAUAACCUGCUCAAUCUUUCUCACACAGAGAAAUGUUUGUUAAGUAAUUAAACUGUAGAUGAUGAUACAAAGAGCUUGAUUAAAUAAGAUGCCAAAGUACCCUUGUGAUUCAGAAUAUGAAUGGUAUUUAAUUUCUUUGAAAUCAUUAAUUGCUGAGUGACAUUAAUUAAUGCCAAUAUUCCAGAAGAUGUUCUAGUGAGUGAAAUGUAUACAACGUGCAAAAGAUUCAGAACUCUGAAGGGCAACAUUAUUCUAUAAUUAAGAAUUAAGAAUUAAUUCACAUCAGUUAUUGGGGAGAAAUAAUUUUUAAGAAUUAAUGACUGAGAAAAUGUUAUUUUUUACUUAGAAAAUUAUUUUGUGCAUGAGCAUUACCGCAAGUUUUGCAAGAAACAUAAAUUUAAAGAAACAAUUAUGUGCACAAGAUGAAUUUAAUAACAUCUUGAUAUAUUCCAUGAUUGCGGUUUUAUUUGGUAAAUCUUUAAAUGCACACCAUUUAAUGAUAAUAAAUGAAUCUUGGAAAUCUUGUAGGUAAGGGUAAAUAUUAGGAUGCAUCCAGUUACAUUUACACACACAUACAUGCAUACAGACUGAUUCACGUGUGUAUAUAUAUAUAUAUGAAUUUACCAAUUGAUGUUAACUAAUAUUUAUAAGAGCCAGUUGGAUUGAUAUAUAUUGUUGAACCUGAAAAAUAUUUAUUAUAUACAUGUUUAAAAUACACACAGAAAUAAAUAGCAAUUGCACUAGGUAUUUGAAACUGUACUAAAAUAUAAGCUGUGAACAUUUUGUGAUCAUUACAAAUUCUUACACUGAAUAAAUAUGUUUAUUUUUACAAUAUUAAUAUGUUUGAUACCUGUGUACAUUUUUUACAAUGUGUUAUUUUAUUUUUGUCAUAGAGUCAUGUCAUGCAUAAUAACAUUUUAGUCAAAGAUGGAUUACAUAUACAAAAGUGGUCCCAUGAGAUUAUAAUAUAUAUUUUUACAUACUUUUCUACGUUUAAGUAUGUUUAGAUACAUAACCUCUUACCACUGUGCUCUUAUUGCCUGCAGUAUUCAGUAGAGUAAUGUAGUACACAGAUUUGUAGCCUAGGAGAAAGAGGCUAUACCAUAUAACCUAAACGUGGUAGGCUGUACAAUCUAGGUGUUUGUAAUAUUCUCUGUGAUGUUUGCAAAAUGAUGAAAUUGCCUAUGAAUACAUCUGUUAAAACGUAUCCCUAUCAUUCAGUGAUGUGUGACUGUACUAAAAUGCUCAAUGUAAGUUUCAAUGCCCUCCAUAAAAUUGUUGUACUGUGAAAUACAAAUCUCUCACCCAUGGCCUGAAUAUGUUUGCAAACUAAGCAGAUCAUGGGAAGGAGAAUGUGCUGGCAUCGCUGGGAUGAUUUUCUCACACUACAUGAAUAAUAUCUACAGACUUCGUGAAUAUGAGCCACUUGCAUAGAGUUAAAGUAGACGUCUCUUUGCUGGGAAAUUUAUCAAAUGGGAGUAUGAAGUGUUUUUACAAGAUACUUGUUUGUUUGUAGCUGGUAGGCCUACAGUGGCUCAUGGCAAUGGUUGAGGUUGCUAAGAUUUGGUGGAAGAAGGCAAAAUGAGAUGGCCACUUAUAUGGUAUAUGGAUCACUUGUUUCUGUUGAGUUACAAACUCAGCUGGCUAUUUCUCCAAUGUUAGUUAUUUGGAGAAAAAAAAACGUGAUGGUAAUUUUGGGGUAACAAAUACAAUAUUUGAUGAAAGCAAAUUUAUUGAGGGUUAGACAAACUACAAGAUACUUUAGGCUGCAAAGUCAACACGAGACUUCUGGCCCAAAUUGUGAAGAGUUUGCGUCCAGCUGCACAGUUCAAAGGAAGAGGCCAUGUAAGAAGAUUCUCACUUCUGACACCAACUGCCAGUUCAGGGGUUUCCCCUGAACACCCUCAGUUUCAAGAGUUUACUAGAAAGACUCACAGAACUCAUUGAAUGCCACUGUACUCAUGGUUUAUAAUAGAGAAAGGGUAGAAAUUAGGACCAAUAGAAGAGACAUAUCAUAUAAGGUGGAAUCUAGGAGAUUUUGAAUGUUAAGUUUCCAUUGUCUUCAGGACAUAUUACCUGUCACUGUUGUACAGCAACAAACAUGGAGUACUACCAACCUGGGGAGCUCACCUGAUGCUAACAAGACACUAUUUACAAAAUGAAAAGACAAAUGAAAGGAUGAGAUAAGAUGACGUUCCACAUUAAGGCACUGGAACGAUUAGCAAACUAAACCUAAAGCAAGCAGAAGGAAGAAAAUUAAAAUUAGAGAAAUUAAUAAUUUAUAACAAUAAUAUUUGUUAGUGUUGAAUAAUUGAUAUUACUUCUUGACUAGCUUUUUUAAAAAAGAGAAAUAUUCACUUCCCAAUUUAUUCUGUGGGGCCAGUGUUACUUUGAUACAAAAAUUAGUCCAAAUAGCAUAGAAAAAUAAAACUACUAUAAGUAUAAAUGCAAACUUCCUUAAAAAAUACUAACAAAUCAGAUCUAGCAACAUAUAAAAGAAUUAUACACUAUGACAAAGUGAAAUUUAUACAAGUAAUCCCAGGUUGGUUUAACAGCCCAAAAUCCAUUAAGGUAAUACAUCUUAUCCAUAGAAUAAGAAACGAGAAUUGCAUGAUCACGUCGAUAGAUUCGGAAAAGACAUUUAACAGAAUCCAAAUGCUUUAAUGACUAAAAAUAAAAAUAAAAACUCAAUGAACCAGGAAUAGAGAACUUUCUACACCUGAUAUAUGGCACCUGUGAAAAGCCAACAGCAAGCAUGCAACUUAAUGGUAAAGGAUGCUUUCCCGCUAUGGUGAGAGAUAUAUACUUUGAUAGGAUAUAUACUUUGACCUCUUCUAGUCAACACUGUACUAAAGAUUUUAUGCAGGGCAAAUCGGCAACUAAAAAAAUAAGAGUCACCCAUACUGAACAGGAAGAAAUAAAACUUUAUUUGAAAAUAACAUUCUUGUAUAUAGAAAAUUUUAAGGAAUCCACCGAACGAUAGAACUCGUAAAUUAUUUCAGCAAUAUUACAGCAAACAAGGUAAAUGUACAAAAAUCAAUUUCACACAUCUGCAAUGAAAACCCCAAAAUGAAUUUAAGAAAACACUUCAAUUUAAAAUAGCAUCAAAAAAAGAAAUAAUAAUUAAUUUGGAAAAUGUGAUACAAGAUUUUCCUCUGAAAAUUAAAAAUUAUUGUUUAAAGAAUAUUUAAAUAAUUAGCAAACACCUUACACCCAUGAAUUGGACUAUUUAAUAUUGUAGUACUUUACAAUUUGAACUACAGAUUUGAUGAAAUCCCUGCAAGUAUCCCAACAGACUUCUGUCUAGAAACUGACAAGCUGAUUCUAAAAUACACAUGGAAUUGUAAGGGACUCAAAAUAGCCAAAAUAAUCUUAAGAAAAGAAAACAUGUUAGGAUAAUUCACACCCCCAUGCUCCAAACCUUACUGCAAAGUAUCGGUAAUCAAGACAACACAAUACUGAUGAAGGAAAAAUAUAUAGAUUGAUGGAAGAUAAUUGAGAGUCCAUAUAUAAAACUAUGUGUCUACAGUCAAUGGAUUCUUACAGUGGUACCAUGUGCAAUUCAAUGAGGAAGAGACAGUCUUUGAACAAACUGGGUCAACAAAGUACACAUGGAUCACCACUUGCAAAAUAAUAAAUUCGAACCCUUACCCCAAAGCAUACAAAAAUAUUAACUCAAAUGAAUUAAAGACACACAUGCAAGAGGUAGAAUAAAGCAUAUGGGAAAGUCUUCAGGAUUUUGGAUCUAGCAAAGAAAUAGCUGUAACCCCAAAAACAUGAGCAACAAAAUAAAAAUUAGAUAUUUAAAAUUUCUUAAAAAUUAAAGACAUUGGUGUUUCAAAGGACAAACAAGCAAGUCAAAAGGCAGCUCAAAAAUUGUGAGAAGAUAUUUGAAAAACACGUAUCUAUAUGUCUGUAUAUAUAUAUGUAUCUUGAAUAUAGAAAAAUUGUUUUAACUCCGUCACAAAUAUCCCAACUCAAAACUGAUAAAUGAUAGGAAUAGAUGUGUUUCCCAAGAAGAUACACGAACGGUCAAUAAUCCCAUAAAAAUAUACUCAAUAGCAUCACUCAUCAGGCAACUACAAAUCAAAACCACAGUUAGAUACUCUAUGGGUAGAACUGGCCACCUUGGAAAAUAAUUUGAUGGCUUCUAAAUAUAUGAAACAUAGAAUUGUCAUAUGACCCAGAAAUUUAUUCCUAGGUAUACACCCAGAUUAUUGGAAAGAGGUGUUCAAACACAAAUUGUACACAAGUAUUUUUAGCAGCAGUAUUUAAAAUAGCCAAAGGCUGAACACAACUCAAAUGUCAAUAAAAAUAUUAUUGGAUAAACAAAAUGUUAUAUCCAAGAAAUUGAAUGUUAUACAGUUAUAAAAAGAAAUAAAGUACCAAUACGUACAUGAACCUUGAUAGCAUUAUGCCAACUGAAAGAAGCCAGGCAGAAAAGGCCACCUAUUGUAUGAUUCUAUUUAGAUGAAAACAGACUAGGAAAAUCUAUAGAGACAGAAAACAGAUUUGUGGUUGCUUAGGAUUGAGUAGGGGAUGGGUGCAUAGGAGGUUAACAGCUAGGGAAGGUGGGGUUUCUUUUUGAAGUGAUGAAAAUGCUCUAAAAUUCAUUGUGAUGAUGGCUCCACUUAUCUGUGCAUAUACUAAAAGCCACUGACUUGUAGACAUUAAUGUGUGCACUCUACACUAUGUAAAUUAUAUCUCAAUAAAUCCUUUCAAAAAUACACAGAAGAGUAAGGGGUUUUGGAAUGCUGCAGCUGGGAGGCAGUUUGAAAUACUGAAUAGGCCUCAUCGAGAAUGUGAAGUUUCAGUAAAGACUUGAGGAAGUUGAAUGAGCUGAUCAAUGGAUAUAUGGAGGGCUAUCUUUCCAAGCCAAGAAAUUAACUAGAGUCUUGACCAUAAGGCAGCAGCAUGUUGGCAUGUCCAGAGGACAGUGAGGUGGCCAGGACCACUGGUAAGAUCAAGGGUGAAGAUAUAAAAGAAUUUUGGCAGUUAACAUGUGGCAGAUGAUGAUGGGCUUGCAGAUCAUUGUAAGAAAUGUUGUUUUGGCCGGGCGCGGUGGCUCACGCCUGUAAUCCCAGCACUUUGGGAGGCCGAGGCGGGUGGAUCACGAGGUCAGGAGAUCGAGACCAUCCUGGCUAACAAGGUGAAACCCCGUCUCUACUAAAAAUACAAAAAAUUAGCCGGGCGUGGUAGCGGGCGCCUGUAGUCCCAGCUACUCGGGAGGCUGAGGCAGGAGAAUGGCGUGAACCCGGGAGGCGGAGCUUGCAGUGAGCCGAGAUCGCGCCACUGCACUCCAGCCUGGGCGACAGAGCGAGACUCCGUCUCAAAAAAAAAAAAAAAAAGAAAAAGAAAUGUUGUUUUUAGUGUACAUGAAAUGGGGAGACAAAUCAUUAUCCCAUUAUCAAUAUUUUAAUAAAUUGGAUCCAUGAACCAAAUCCAAUGAGAUUAAAUCAAUUAAUAAUAAUAUGCAAAUUUGUAUUAAAAUUAAAAGAAUUACUUGCACAUUUGAGAACAGGAGAGACAUGAUUUUUAUCAGCAAUAAUAAACAUUAUUAAUUUUAAUUGUGAUCAGCUAAUUGAGAUUAAUUGCAAUACAUCAUGCUUUAUAAUGUGACUGCCAAAAGGAAAAUAUGAUUGUAAUCUUAUACUACAUCUAUCAAUGUCUUUUAUACAUAAGAGUAUAGAGUAAGCCCGUAGUUUUCAAAGCCAACCUAUGAAGCAGUGACAUCUUAUGCAAGUUUGCUGCUUUCUGCCACAGUGAUCCUUGGUCAGCGGGCACAAAUUGUUUUACAAACGCCCCCUAGGUCUAAAAGUAGUUUGGAUCACAAUGAACACAGAAACACCUUCAUCCCUUCAGAAAUACCUAUCAAUUACUUCCAAUACAGAAUGAAAAAUUGACAAAGGAAAUAUGUGGAUUGUAAAAAUGCCAGUUAGCUUGCAACUACAUGAAAGAAAAAUGCCAUUUUUAUUACAUUAGGUCAUUGUUUCACAUGAGUUUUGGUAUAGCAAAAUGUUGAACCAAGGGAAAAGAGACAUGAAUUAAUGAAGUCUUAAGAUAUCAAGAAUUUGAAAGAAAAGGCAGGUCAUCUUUGAAGGUUAGUGACAUAGCAUUCAUCUUCUGUUGUCACCUUUCCUGUCAUUCCCUGUAUGCCUGAUGGACAGGUUUCACUCAAGUUCAGAGAACAGCAUGCAAAAUUAGCUAUCAAUUAAUCUUUAGGAAGUGAGCUGCAUUUCUAGCCAGACUGAGCUUACGUUUUAGCAGGAAGCAUUUUUGGGAAAUGUUUAUGUUAGAGUUGGCCCUUCUUGACAAGGUGAGACAUAAAUGUCUACUUUAUAGACAUGAAUUAAGAUGGGAAGAUAUUUGGGGGAAUCAUUUACUCAAACGCUAAAUAAUAAAGGUACACAAAGGGCAAAUUAUACUAGAUUUCUUUCCCACUUGUUUUCUAUGUCUCAUGCAAUUCACCUUGAUUCCCUUCAGUUUCUGUUUAAUGUAGAAAGUGGCAUUUUCAUUAUUUUAAGCUUCUAGCACAAUGAAAGAAUUUCUCUUUUUCAUGAACAGGAUCAUACAUGAAAAGGAGGAAGAGUGUCCUAUAUCAUAUUUAUUGUUCAACAAAACACUGCUCCACGGCUUAAAUUCAGUUUAAGAAAGAGAAUUUGUUGAACAUCUAACACAUACAUAAAAGGCAGUAAAGACACAUGAGAAGAGGGCAGGAUAUUGAAGUAUACAGACUUCAAUGCUGAGUUUUAUAUCUUAGGGAGUUACUCCACCUUACAGAGGCUCAAUUUCCCCUGAUUUAGGAAGGCGAUGCUAAUGGGUAUUGCAUAGGUGUAAGUAUAAAAAUGUUGUAUUGAAGAGAAUCCCACAAGCUUGGUAUAAGGCCGAAAAUAAAUUGAUGUGACAUGAAUAAGUAGUUUAUUACAUUUGUAUGCUACCUGCAGACUAGAGGAAGCAAGAAACACAGCCACUAUGCUUGAUUAGCAUUAUAGGGAUGGUACAAUGAUUGUUGCCAGAAGCUGGAGGGAGGAAGAAAUGGGGAAGUAUUGUUUAAUGGGUAUAGAGUUUCAGUUUUACAAGAUGAAACGAAUUAUGGAGAUGGAUGGUAGGGACGGCUGCACAAUGUUAUGACUAUAUUUAGUACCACUGAACUGUACACUUAAAAUGGUUAACCGAGUACAUUUUAUGUUAUGUGUAUUUUACCACAAUAAAAAAAUAAAAUACCUUAGGAACAUUUUCAUGAAAAAGCCCACAUAAAAUUCAUUUUAAUGCACGUGUUUAUGCAUAGCUUUCUAUUUUUCUCUUUUCCCUUUACAUUCCUAAUUCUAAUCAGAGAAGGGAAUCCCCUCUGUACCUCCAGGAUAUUCAGUAAAGACCACUGGAGGUUCAUGCCCUAGUGACAGUGCUCAUUUAGCUCCAAAUUACAGAUGGCUCUAGACUAACUCAACAAAGCUUAAAGAGAAGAUUUAAAACAACAACAGACAAAUACUCAUCCUGAAGUUACUGAACUGCCUGCCACAACAUUGUUCAAAGGUAGCCAAUCAAAUCUAGAUAUUCAAUAGCAUAACAUCAAAAUACCCAAAAAAAACUCUGAAAUGCAAAGAAGCCGUAAGAUAUAUAUAAUUAAGAUAUAUAUUAACAGGAUAAAAAUAAGUCAUUUAUAAAUGACAAAAAAGAAGGAAAUUUCAAGGUUCUUAAAGUAAAUAUAUUUUAUAAAUACAUAUAGAUAAAUACAUAUAUAUGUCAAGGUACUUAAAUGAAAAUUAAACAUAGGAGAAAAAUAGAAGUUAUAAAAUGAAAAAGUGACAUAUAUAGAUGAAAAAUAAAUAUUUGAAAUAAAAAUUCCAUGACAUAGAAUAAGUAAUGGAUUUUACCCUAACAUCAGAAAAUUUAUAGAACAAAUUAGAAGCAUUACAAACUAAAGGACAAAUGGUAAACUAAAAUAAGAAAACCAGAAACUCACUGAUACGUCAGACAAUAUGCAUCAGUGUAACAUACAUGUAAUCAACAUCUCAAAAAGGAUGGGUGGGGUAAUUAUAGGUGAAUAAAGAAUGGUACACUCAUUCCUGAGGGCACCGAGGAGGGAGGAUAGCUUUAGAUUUCUAAGGGAGGGUAUUAUCCAUUCAUGAAGGUCCAACCCCAUGACCAAACACCUCCCAGUGAGCCCCACCUGCAACAUUGGGGAUCAAAUUUUAACAUGAGUUUGGAAGGGGCAAGCAUUCAAACCAUAGCAAGAGUUAAAUUUCCUUUUUAAGAAAAUCACUGAUAUGAUUCCACUUCGCCAUAGAUAAAAACUAGUAUUUCAGCCUACCGUUGAGUGUGCUUAUAGCUCACCAAAAGGGCACUCUGUCUCGGGAAUACAGAUUUGCCUACAGGUAUCCUAUUGCAGUCAAAGAAAGAGCAAUGAGGGAUAGAAAAGGUUAGUGAUGGAGACACCAGCGCUGCAUUUUGCAACAAACAAUGUAAAAACUUUACGGAUUGGUUCUGCUAACUUACUACAGUUUACAUGCCUCUCAGGUGGGAGAAUUGUUGCGUUUUUUCUUAAGAUAGAAAAGCAAUUCAGAUAAUCUGAAAUCUCCACAAGAAGGAUAAGAAGCACAGCAGAAACUAUUCUAGGCAGGAAGUCAAUCCUUUCAACUGUCUGUGCUCCAUAGAAACAAUUGUCUGCACUGGGAGUCAUAUGAGGUACAGACAACAGCCAGACUUCUGAUCCUCUCAUUAGUGAUUUCAGAAGAAAUUACCAGUCAACUGAGUAACUCACUGAGUAUAGUAAACAUUUGGCACUGAAAGAGGUUAGACGGAUAACUAUUUGUAUCACCAUAUUCAUGAAGCUGGAAUAUUUUCCAUUACUGGUAUCACAUCCGAAUGGAAGAUGUUAAAAGGUCUCUCAUCAUGUAAGAUAGAUAUGAAAGAACAUUUUCUGAGAAAUGAAAUUAUUAACACACCUGUGAGGUGCAUGGAAGAGAAAAAAAGAAUAAUCACCUUGAGUUCUUCUCCUUGAUAAGAGAACUCACUAAAAACAUAAAGAGAAAAAUACAAGUUUAAAAUAAUUAACCAGAAGAAGACGACUCUAGAGAUUUUAAAUUGCUGAUAAGAUUUUAAUUUGCUCCAAGUUGAAAAUAAUUAUAUUGCUUGUGUUUUAAGGCACAUAAUGAGCAAUUAUAUCACACAUGAUAGUUUCAGCAGUAAAAUAUGAUCCG
rnacentral:lncRNA from 10 species